AAGGUUGUUCCAACAAGUCCGAUACAGUCAUGAUAUAACAAUAUUGUUACAACCUUGUGUCGUCAACCUUGUAACAUUCUUGUUAUAUCAUGACUGUAUUAGACUUGUUAGAACAACCUU
rnacentral:miRNA from 1 species